rnacentral:lncRNA from 1 species
GAGUUCCGCAGCAUGCCGGAUUGUGAGGACCCGUUCGACUACAUCGGUUCGUCUGCUUCACGGAGUCAUUCUUCUUCCAAGCGGGAUCUCAGGCAAGAUGACCAUUUCCCCAGAUAUCAUUACUAUCAUUGCCAUGCUAGUUUUACCGUUUCUAUCGUUAUGUCUCGUUGCCUACCACAUGUUAAAUGUCAGCCUCUCAACAAUGCCAUGAAACCUUCAACCUGUUCACAACCUAGCAAACCACUGAUUGGCUAUGUUACUGCUUGCUUAACCCUGUGUUACCAUUGCUAGUUGCAGGUGCAUUGCUUCCAUGUGAAAGCAUGGGUCCCUUGUUAUAUCACCAUAUUAAAUGCUAUUUAAUUUAAUGCACCUAUAUACUUGGUAAAAGGUGGAAGGCUCGGCCUUUCUAGCCUGGUGUUUUGUUCCACCUUUGCCCCCUUAGUUUCCGGCUAUCGGUGUUAUGUUCCAUAAUUGAGCGCUCCUAACACGAUCAGGGUUGUUACGGGGACCCCCUUGAUAAUUCAUUUUAGAUUAAAUCUGGUCUGGCAAGGCCCAACAUUGGUACUACAUUUGCCUAAUCACCUAAUAAAAUUGCAUAGGGACUUUCCGGACCCCGAGGAUAAUUUAAUCAACCCCCGGGCCAGUGCUCCUCAUGAGUGUUGGUCCAGACUGGACAGACUGCGGGGCCACCACGGGGCAACUCGAGGUUUGGCACCUGUAGGCUUUUCCAUUCGUCGUGUCCUGAGAACGAGAUACGCGGCUCCUAUCGGGUUCGUCGACACGUCGGGCGGCCUUGCUCGAUUAGUUUUACCUUUGACGAGAUAUCUUGUGCAUCGGGAUUCCGGUGAUGCUUUGGGUAAUCUCAGAGUUGAGGUUUUCCACUAGGGAAUCCGACGAGAUCGCGAGCUUCGCGAUUGAGGAUUUCUAUGCGGCUUGUUGUAAUUUGUGAUGGACUAUAUAGUUGGAGCACCCCUGCAGGGUUAAAUAUUUUCGGAAAGCCGUGCCCGCGGUUAUGUGGCAACGUGGAAGCUUUGUUUAACACUGGUUCUAGAUAACUUGAAGUUAACUUAAUUAAAAUAUGCCAACUGUGUGCGUAACCGUGACUGUCUCUUUCGUGAGUUCCUUCUCCGAUCGAGGACACGGUGGGGUUAUGUCUGACGUAGGUAGGUGUUCAGGAUCAUUCACUUGAUCAACCGUAGUUCACGUCCGCUAUGCGUAGAUCUUUCCCCUCUUAUUUCUUGUACUCGUAAGUUUAGCCACCAAAUAUAUGCUUAGCCGCUGCUGCAACCUCACCACUGAACCAUGCCUCACCCAUUAAGCUUUGCUAGUCUUGAUACCUUUGGAAAUGAGAUUGCUGAGUCCCCCGUGGCUCACAGAUUACUACAACACCAGUUGCAGGUACAGGUAAAGGUUACUUGAUGCGAGCGCGUUGAAUGUUCAUUUGGAGUUGCUUCUUCUUCUUCCUCUUCAUCGAUCUAGGAUGGGUUCCAGGCCGGCAGCCUGGGAUAGCAAGGAUGGACGUCGUUCUUCUUUUCUCGUUUGUUUUCGUCCGUAGUCGGACCCUGCUCUUACUCUUGAUGAUUAUGUAAUGUACUGAUGUGACUC